rnacentral:rRNA from 1 species
GAUGAACGCUAGCGGCAGGCUUAAUACAUGCAAGUCGAGGGGCAGCAUGAUUGUAGCAAUACAAUUGAUGGCGACCGGCAAACGGGUGCGGAACACGUACACAACCUUCCAACAAGUGGGGGAUAGCCCAGAGAAAUUUGGAUUAAUACCCCGUAACAUAGCGAUGUGGCAUCACAUUGCUAUUAUAGAUUUUUCGCUUGUUGAUGGGUGUGCGGCUGAUUAGAUAGUUGGCGGGGUAACGGCCCACCAAGUCUACGAUCAGUAGCUGAUGUGAGAGCAUGAUCAGCCACACGGGCACUGAGACACGGGCCCGACUCCUACGGGAGGCAGCAGUAAGAAAUAUCGGACAAUGGACGCAAGUCUGAUCCAGCCAUGCCGCGUGAAGGAUUAAGGUCCUCUGGAUUGUAAACUUCUUUUAUAAGGGACGAAAAAAGGCUUUUCUAAGUCGUCUGACGGUACCUUAUGAAUAAGCACCGGCUAACUCCGUGCCAGCCGCCGCAGUAAUAC